AAGCGCUCAUGACCAGACUUGCGCCGGGUUGAUCAUCCAGUGUUCUCACUGGUGCACUCUUCCCGGCUCAGGCCAGCAUCGGUUCUGUCGGGGGCAUAAAGGCUUUGGGAACGUAGCUCUUUCGGGAGUGUUAUAGCCCAUUGUGUAAUACCCCCGAUGGGACCGAGGACCGCGCUCUGCAAGGAUGCUGGCGUAAUGGUCAUCAGCGA
rnacentral:rRNA from 1 species